AGUUGCAGGGUAUAGACCCGAAACCCGGUGAUCUAGCCAUGGGCAGGUUGAAGGUUGGGUAACACUAACUGGAGGACCGAACCGACUAAUGUUGAAAAAUUAGCGGAUGACUUGUGGCUGGGGGUGAAAGGCCAAUCAAACCGGGAGAUAGCUGGUUCUCCCCGAAAGCUAUUUAGGUAGCGCCUCGUGAACUCAUCUUCGGGGGUAGAGCACUGUUUCGGCUAGGGGGUCAUCCCGACUUACCAACCCGAUGCAAACUACGAAUACCGAAGAAUGUUAUCACGGGAGACACACGGCGGGUGCUAACGUUCGUCGUGAAGAGGGAAACAACCCAGACCGCCAGCUAAGGUCCCAAAGUCAUGGUUAAGUGGGAAACGAAGUGGGAAGGCUCAGACAGCCAGGAUGUUGGCUUAGAAGCAGCCAUCAUUUAAAGAAAGCGUAAUAGCUCACUGGUCGAGUCGGCCUGCGCGGAAGAUGUAACGGGGCUAAACCAUGCACCGAAGCUGCGGCAGCGACAUGUAAAUGUUGUUGGGUAGGGGAGCGUUCUGUAAGCCUGUGAAGGUGUGCUGCGAGGCAUGCUGGAGGUAUCAGAAGUGCGAAUGCUGACAUAAGUAACGAUAAUGCGGGUGAAAAACCCGCACGCCGGAAGACCAAGGGUUCCUGUCCAACGUUAAUCGGGGCAGGGUGAGUCGACCCCUAAGGCGAGGCAGAAAUGCGUAGUCGAUGGGAAACAGGUUAAUAUUCCUGUACUGGUGAUAAUUGCGAUGGGGGGACGGAGAAGGCUAGGCUGGCCGGGCGACGGUUGUCCCGGUUUAAGGAUGUAGGUGGGCGAAUUAGGCAAAUCCGGUUCGCUAUACACUGAGGUCUGAUGACGAGUCACUACGGUGGCGAAGUAGCUCAUGCCCCGCUUCCAGGAAAAGCCUCUAAGCUCUAGAUUAUCAUUAAUCGUACCCCAAACCGACACAGGUGGUCAGGUAGAGAAUACUCAGGCGCUUGAGAGAACUCGGGUGAAGGAACUAGGCAAAAUGGUGCCGUAACUUCGGGAGAAGGCACGCUGGCAUUAGGUGAAGUGGUUUACCCAUGGAGCUGAAGCCAGUCGCAGAUACCAGCUGGCUGCAACUGUUUAUUAAAAACACAGCACUGUGCAAACACGAAAGUGGACGUAUACGGUGUGACGCCUGCCCGGUGCUGGAAGGUUAAUUGAUGGGGUUAUCCGUAAGGAGAAGCUCUUGAUCGAAGCCCCAGUAAACGGCGGCCGUAACUAUAACGGUCCUAAGGUAGCGAAAUUCCUUGUCGGGUAAGUUCCGACCUGCACGAAUGGCGUAAUGAUGGCCAGGCUGUCUCCACCCGAGACUCAGUGAAAUUGAACUCGCUGUGAAGAUGCAGUGUACCCGCGGCAAGACGGAAAGACCCCGUGAACCUUUACUAUAGCUUGACACUGAACAUUGAGCCUUGAUGUGUAGGAUAGGUGGGAGGCUUUGAAGUGUGGACGCCAGUCUGCAUGGAGCCAACCUUGAAAUACCACCCUUUAAUGUUUGAUGUUCUAACGUAGCCCCAUAAUCUGGGGUGCGGACAGUGUCUGGUGGGUAGUUUGACUGGGGCGGUCUCCUCCCAAAGCGUAACGGAGGAGCACGAAGGUUGGCUAAGCAUGGUCGGACAUCAUGCGGUUAGUGCAAAGGCAUAAGCCAGCUUGACUGCGAGAGUGACGGCUCGAGCAGGUACGAAAGUAGGUCUUAGUGAUCCGGUGGUUCUGAAUGGAAGGGCCAUCGCUCAACGGAUAAAAGGUACUCCGGGGAUAACAGGCUGAUACCGCCCAAGAGUUCAUAUCGACGGCGGUGUUUGGCACCUCGAUGUCGGCUCAUCACAUCCUGGGGCUGAAGUAGGUCCCAAGGGUAUGGCUGUUCGCCAUUUAAAGUGGUACGCGAGCUGGGUUUAGAACGUCGUGAGACAGUUCGGUCCCUAUCUGCCGUGGGCGUUGGAAGAUUGAAAGGGGCUGCUCCUAGUACGAGAGGACCGGAGUGGACGCACCGCUGGUGUUCGGGUUGUCAUGCCAAUGGCACUGCCCGGUAGCUAAGUGCGGAAGAGAUAACCGCUGAAAGCAUCUAAGCGGGAAACUUGCCUUGAGAUGAGUCUUCCCUGACUCUUUAAGGGUCCUAAAGGAACGUUUAAGACGAAGACGUUGAUAGGCUGGGUGUGUAAGCGUAGCGAUACGUUGAGCUAACCAGUACUAAUGAACCGUGAGGCUUAACCUG
rnacentral:rRNA from 1 species